rnacentral:rRNA from 1 species
CAUUACAGAAGUUUAUUCUUCCCAUCUAUGUUUAUUGACCAGUUUCAUAUACAUUUUAUCCUGCUAUAUUGUACUGUCUGAAUAAAACCAAAAAAUUAAAUUAAAACUUUCAACAACGGAUCUCUUGGUUCUGGCAUCGAUGAAGAACACAGCAAAAUGUGAUAAGUAAUGUGAAUUGCAGAAUUUAGUGAAUCAUCGAAUUUUUGAACGCAUAUUGCACCUUUUUAAGGUAUACUUGGAUGAGUGUUGUUUAAUCAUCACCAAUCUCGGUGGUAUUGGGAGCCUGGUGUCUCAACCCUCCUCAAAGACAACCCGAUGAAAUCGAUACAAUGAGCUUCGGCAGGUAUUGAAAUCGUCGACAACCUCACUUUGGACCUGGUCUUCCAGAUUCGAACUGUAUUUUAUAUGGUUCAACCUCAUCUCAAGUAAGAUUACCCGCUGAACUUAA